rnacentral:rRNA from 1 species
UACGGGGGGGGGCAAGCGUUUGUUCGGAAUUACUGGGCGUAAAGGGCUCGUAGGUGGCCAACUAAGUCGGACGUGAAAUCCCUCGGCUUAACCGGGGAACUGCGUCUGAUACUGGAUGGCUUGAGUUCGGGAGAGGGAUGCGGAAUUCCAGGUGUAGCGGUGAAAUGCGUAGAUAUCUGGAGGAACACCGGUGGCGAAGGCGGCAUCCUGGACCGACACUGACGCUGAGGCACGAAAGCGUGGGGGAGCAAACAGG